UACGUAGGGGGCGAGCGUUAUCCGGAAUUAUUGGGUUUAAAGGGAGCGCAGGCUGGCGAUUAAGCGUGACGUGAAAUGCCGCGGCUCAACCGUGGAAGUGCGUCGCGAACUGGUCGUCUUGAGUGGGUUCGACGCCGGCGGAAUUCGUGGUGUAGCGGUGAAAUGCUUAGAUAUCACGAAGAACCCCGAUUGCGAAGGCAGCCGGCGAGGCCCCAACUGACGCUAAAGCUCGAAGGUGCGGGUAUCGAAC
rnacentral:rRNA from 1 species